rnacentral:rRNA from 1 species
UACGUAGGGGGCAAGCGUUAUCCGGAUUUACUGGGUGUAAAGGGAGCGUAGACGGCAUAGCAAGUCUGAAGUGAAAGCCCGUGGCUCAACCGCGGAACUGCUUUGGAAACUGUUAAGCUGGAGUACUGGAGAGGCAGGCGGAAUUCCUAGUGUAGCGGUGAAAUGCGUAGAUAUUAGGAGGAACACCAGUGGCGAAGGCGGCUUGCUGGACAGAGACUGACGUUGAGGCUCGAAAGCGUGGGGAGCAAACAGG